rnacentral:lncRNA from 1 species
AAACAACUAGUGAAAAGUGAAGGAAACAAAGAAAGAAGACUUGAAGCUAUAUUUCUGUUUUGGCAGUAAAGCCAACAAGUGACUGGGUACUUCUGCACCCUCCUCUAAGAUGAUGGCAAGAAGAGGAUCAGAGAACUGAAUCAGAAACAACAUAGGGAAAGAAGGGAAAGGAUAUAGAUUCAUCUGUGGCUAUCACAUGGCACCUAGAGCCUCUCAGUUGCUUCUAGGGUGAAAACAUUCAUGAGAGUCAUGUUGAUGCCACUGCAACCAUCUCAACCUGACACUCUGGACACUGGCUACAGUCAAUACCUCUCUCUCCUAACAGAUUCAAGAUGGACAGAUCGAUGAACCUCCAGGCUACAUCUUGAUCCUAUCAGGCUACAUCUCAGACAUCUGUCUAUUCCCUAAAACUAAGGAAUCUUUAUGAGGGUCAUUUCCUAUGUCUCCAGGUAGACCCCAGUCAGAUGACCAACCCACCCCACCAAAUGCCUGAGUGACAACCAC